rnacentral:rRNA from 1 species
GACGAACGCUGGCGGCGUGCUUAACACAUGCAAGUCGAACGGAAAGGCCCUGCUUUUGUGGGGUGCUCGAGUGGCGAACGGGUGAGUAACACGUGAGUAACCUGCCCUUGACUUUGGGAUAACUUCAGGAAACUGGGGCUAAUACCGGAUAGGAGCUCCUGCUGCAUGGUGGGGGUUGGAAAGUUUCGGCGGUUGGGGAUGGACUCGCGGCUUAUCAGCUUGUUGGUGGGGUAGUGGCUUACCAAGGCUUUAACGGGUAGCCGGCCUGAGAGGGUGACCGGCCACAUUGGGACUGAGAUACGGCCCAGACUCCUACGGGAGGCAGCAGGGGGGAAUAUUGCACAAUGGGCGGAAGCCUGAUGCAGCAACGCCGCGUGCGGGAUGACGGCCUUCGGGUUGUAAACCGCUUUCGCCUGUGACGAAGCGUGAGUGACGGUAAUGGGUAAAGAAGCACCGGCUAACUACGUG